AGAGUCUGAUCCUGGCUCGGGAUGAACGCUAGCGGCAGGCCUAACACAUGCAAGUCGAACGGUAACAUGAGAGCUUGCUCUUGAUGACGAGUGGCGCACGGGUGCGUAACGCGUAUGCAACCUACCUUUUACAGAGGGAUAGCCCAGAGAAAUUUGGAUUAACACCUCAUAGUAUCAUAAAUGUUCAUGCAUUAAUGAUUAAAACUUCGGUGGUAAAAGAUGGGCAUGCGUAAGAUUAGCUAGUUGGUAAGGUAACGGCUUACCAAGGCGACGAUCUUUAGGGGGCCUGAGAGGGUGGUCCCCCACACUGGUACUGAGACACGGACCAGACUCCUACGGGAGGCAGCAGUGAGGAAUAUUGGUCAAUGGACGCAAGUCUGAACCAGCCAUGCCGCGUGCAGGAAGACGGCCCUAUGGGUUGUAAACUGCUUUUAUAUAGGAAGAAACUUUUCUACGUGUAGAAAACUGACGGUACUAUAUGAAUAAGGACCGGCUAACUCCGUGCCAGCAGCCGCGGUAAUACGGAGGGUCCAAGCGUUAUCCGGAUUUAUUGGGUUUAAAGGGUCCGUAGGCGGAUUUUUAAGUCAGUGGUGAAAGCCUGCAGCUCAACUGCAGAACUGCCAUUGAUACUGGAAAUCUUGAGUGUAUUUGAAGUGGGCGGAAUGUGUCAUGUAGCGGUGAAAUGCAUAGAUAUGACACAGAACACCGAUUGCGAAGGCAGCUCACUAAACUACAACUGACGCUGAGGGACGAAAGCGUGGGGAGCGAACAGGAUUAGAUACCCUGGUAGUCCACGCCGUAAACGAUCAUCACUCGCUGUUGGCGAUACACAGUCAGCGGCCAAGCGAAAGCAUUAAGUGAUGCACCUGGGAAGUACGGUCGCAAGAUUGAAACUCAAAGGAAUUGACGGGGGCCCGCACAAGCGGUGGAGCAUGUGGUUUAAUUCGAUGAUACGCGAGGAACCUUACCAGGGCUUAAAUGCAGAAUGACAGUUUGGGAAACCAGAUUUUCUUCGGACAUUUUGCAAGGUGCUGCAUGGUUGUCGUCAGCUCGUGCCGUGAGGUGUCAGGUUAAGUCCUAUAACGAGCGCAACCCCUAUCUUUAGUUGCCAGCGGGUCAAGCCGGGGACUCUAAAGAAACUGCCAGCGCAAGCUGUGAGGAAGGUGGGGAUGACGUCAAAUCAUCACGGCCCUUACGUCCUGGGCUACACACGUGCUACAAUGGUAACGACAGAGGGCAGCCACCACGCGAGUGGGAGCGGAUCCUUAAACGUUAUCUCAGUUCGGAUUGGAGUCUGCAACUCGACUCCAUGAAGCUGGAAUCGCUAGUAAUCGCGCAUCAGCCAUGGCGCGGUGAAUACGUUCCCGGGCCUUGUACACACCGCCCGUCAAGCCAUGGAAGCCGGGGGUGCCUGAAGUCGGUAACCGCAAGGAGCUGCCUAGGGUAAAACUGGUAACUAGGGCUAAGUCGUAACAAGGUA
rnacentral:rRNA from 1 species